GCAUGUGCACGCCCGAGCCCUUGAAUUCCAAACACACCUGUGAACCCACCGUAGGCCUUCGGGCCUAUGUCUUAUCAUAUAAUCUUGAAUGUCUAAUAGAAUGUAAACCCAUUCCGUCGCCUUGAAAACGUGACGGAAGAAAACUUAUACAACUUUCAACAACGGAUCUCUUGGCUCUCGCAUCGAUGAAGAACGCAGCGAAAUGCGAUAAGUAAUGUGAAUUGCAGAUUUUCAGUGAAUCAUCGAAUCUUUGAACGCACCUUGCGCCCCUUGGUAUUCCGAGGGGCAUGCCUGUUUGAGUGUCAUUAAAUCCUCAACCCCCCCCGAUUCGUUUCGGGCGGGGAUUGGACUUGGAGCGUGCUGGCGAAGGUCGGCUCCUCUUUAAAUGCAUCAGCGGAGAAAAUGCCUUUUGCGCCUCUGGCCGUUCAGCGUGAUAAUGACGUUGCGCUGCGGUCGAGCUCAAGGUCCGCUUCUAAAGGUCCUCGGACGAUAUCAU
rnacentral:rRNA from 1 species